AUGUCCAUUAUUAAGUGGUCUGAAAGGUCAGGCCAGUAAACUUUUGCUGAUUUGCAGGUCCCUCCUCCAGAGAUUCAGUGGGUCAGAUAUCUGUUCAUGUGGACAUCACCGCCACCCCAGGAACAGGAGAGCAUAAAGUCACUAUAAAAGUCAUUGCUAUUAAUGACUUAAACUGGCAGACCACUGCAACGUUCCGCCCCUUUGUGGAAGUUUGUAUGCUGGGACCCAACCUCGGAGACAAGAAGAGAAAACAAGGCACAAAGACAAAAAGCAACACAUGGUCACCAAAAUAUAACGAAACAUUUCAGUUCAUUCUGAGUAAAGAAAACCGCCCACGGGCCUAUGAACUUCACCUUUCAGUUAAAGAUUACUGCUUUGCCAGAGAAGAUCGAAUUAUCGGAAUGACAGUAAUUCAGCUCCAGAACAUAGCAGAAAAAGGAAGCCACGGGGCAUGGUAUCCCCUAUUGAAAAACGUCUCUAUGGAUGAAACUGGUUUGACUAUCCUUAGAAUCCUCUCGCAGAGGACCAGUGACAAUGUGGCCAAAGAAUUUGUAAAACUUAAAUCUGAAACAAGAUCUGCUGAAGAGAGUGCUUGAAACAAACACUGCAAGAUAGCAUCUAGGAGAAUUCAUAAACUAUAACUGUUUGACUACUGCAUGCAUGUGCAAAUACACGGGAAUGUUUAUUUCACUACGUUUCAGUGUUUGCCAGUACUCAAGAACAAUGUCUACAAGGUAUGUGGAAAACCUGUGGAACUUUUAUACCACUUCUGGUCUUUGAGAAAUAAAUGUUCCAUGAAGUGCCAAAAUUAUGAUGUAAAGUGAAAUAUCCAGAGCAUCUUUUAAAAUGUUUAUUUCAUUACCAAUUUCUCAUCCAUUAAACAUACUAAAAAAACAGUCUCUUAAGUUGGUCCAUUAGUUGUCCUUGUUACAUUGGUGUAUAUGGCCAGUAGGUAUGAAAGCAUCUGUUACUCAAACUCUAUUUUAUUUAGACUUAGCUCAUUAUAGAUGUCUUAUAAAUACCCUUUUCUAUCAUGACUAGAAAUGCAGUUACUUCUAGAAAGCAUUUGUAAUUUUAUAGUUGCAGGUAUAUUGUGAUGAUUUUUGCAUACAUAUUAAAAUAGAAAAUGUGGGAAAUAUUUUAUGCCAACCGGUUUCCAACCUUUCUGAAAUCACUGUGAAGAAAUGCUCUUAAAGCAAACUUAUAAAAAGUAAUGCUAAAUAGUUUGUUAACAGUGUUUGAUAUAUCAACAGAACUUUGUUCUUUAAAACUGCCAAGGUCACAUCACAUUUGUAAAAAAAAAAAAAAAAGGUAAGUUGAAGCAUUUGCCAUCUAGCAUUAUGUCUUGGCUUUACCAAAUUUCAUUCUUUAGAAAGUCAUAUGACUAAUGGUUUAGGAGUAUGAUGGAAGGUUUGUUUCUUAAAUUACCUAUGAUAAGUAAUUAUACUGUUAGUGUUUUCCUUCUGACAGUUAUGACUAACUCCUUAUUUACUGAGUGCUAUAAUCAGUUAAAUGCUUUUCUC